rnacentral:rRNA from 1 species
AACGAACGCUGGCGGCAUUCCUAACACAUGCAAGUCGAACGAGAUCUUCGGGUCUAGUGGCGCACGGUUGCGUAACGCGUGGGAAUCUGCCCUUUGGUUCGGAAUAACAGUUGGAAACGACUGCUCAUACCGGACGAUGACGAAAGUCCAAAGGUUGAUCGCCAGCGGAUGAGCCCGCGUAGGUUUAGCUAGUUGGUGUGGUAAAGGCGCACCAAGGCGACGAUCCUUAGCUGGUCUGAGAGGGUGAUCAGCCACGCUGGGACGGAGACACGGCCCGGAUGCCGACGGGAGGCAGCAGUGGGUAAUAUUGGACUAUGGGCGAAAGUCUGAGCGAGCAAUGCCGCGUGGGUGAUGAAGGCCUUAGGGUUGUAAAGCGCUUUUACCCGGGAUGAUAAUGACAGUACCGGGAGAAUAAGCUCCGGCUAACUCCGUGCCAGCAGCCGCAGUAA